rnacentral:rRNA from 1 species
UGAGUAACCUGCCCUCCACUCUGGGAUAAGCCCGGGAAACUGGGUCUAAUACCGGAUAUGACCUCCUGUCUCACGGCGGGUGGUGGAAAGUUUUUUCGGUGGGGGAUGGACUCGCGGCCUAUCAGCUUGUUGGUGAGGUAAUGGCUUACCAAGGCGACGACGGGUAGCCGGCCUGAGAGGGCGACCGGCCACACUGGGACUGAGACACGGCCCAGACUCCUACGGGAG